GACGAACGCUGGCGGCGUGCUUAACACAUGCAAGUCGAACGGUGAAGCGCCUUCCUUUUUGGUGGGUGUGGAUGAGUGGCGAACGGGUGAGUAACACGUGAGUAACCUGCCCUCUUCUUCUGGAUAACCGCAUGAAAGUGUGGCUAAUACGGGAUAUUCUGGGUCUGUCGCAUGAUGGGUCUGGGAAAGAUAUUGUUUCGGUGGGGGAUGGGCUCGCGGCCUAUCGGCUUGUUGGUGGGGUGAUGGCCUACCAAGGCGGUGACGGGUAGCCGGCCUGAGAGGGUGGACGGUCACACUGGGACUGAGACACGGCCCAGACUCCUACGGGAGGCAGCAGUGGGGAAUAUUGCACAAUGGGCGCAAGCCUGAUGCAGCGACGCCGCGUGAGGGAUGGAGGCCUUCGGGUUGUGAACCUCUUUCGCCAGUGAAGCAGGCCUGCCUCGUUUGUGGGUGGGUUGACGGUAGCUGGAUAAGAAGCGCCGGCUAACUACGUG
rnacentral:rRNA from 1 species